CACUCUCUUCGACCGGUGGAGGGAUAAUCCCAAGGAAAAUUCGAGAAAGGGCCUUUCCCUUUUCUCAAUUCCCCUCCUCUUCUCUUCACUAGGAGUCACCAUAUCUCUCUAUCUACUGCCGUAGAUUGUUCUUGAUUUUGCAUUUUUUUUUUCUCUUUUAUACGAGAUAUGGAUAUGGAUUCGACUGUUUUGGAGCACAUGGCUGACGGGGAUCAACCGCCGUCUUACGCUUCCAUGGUGGAUCCUUUUCUCGUCGAGGCGCUUCAGAAUCCUCGCCAUCGUCUUACUAUUUUGCGGAUGGAACUUGAUAUACAGAAGUUCAUGCAAAACAAUGAUCUACAGCAGUUCGAGUUUCCUCACUUCCCGACUUCAUACCUUCGUCUUGCCGCCCACCGUGUUGCUCAACACUAUGGUGUGCAAACCAUGGUUCAGGAAAAUGUUUCAGAUGGCCAUGGAAUCAGGAUUUUGGUUAUAAAGAAGCCAGAGUCCAAGUUCCCUGCAGUCUGCUUGUCAGAUGUUCCUGCAAAAGAGUCGGAAAAUGAUAAACUUGAUCAGAUCAAGAUUGUAAUUAGACCAAGGCCUAAAGCUUCCUCUAAUGACCUCAAUGAAAUUGGCCAUAAACGCAAUCCAGUAAGAACUGUGGAAGAGAGGAAGGAAGAGUAUGACAGAGCAAGAGCUCGUAUUUUCAGCAGCCCUAGUAAUUCUGAAGCAGAAGAGGCAUUGCCUUGGGCAGCUUCAGAUAGGACGAACACCGCUGUUGAUGACACUGAAGUUUCAAGAGACUUGGGUUUGGAUUGGGAAAGAAGGAACUGCAGCAUGGAAGGUGGAAAUUUUUCGAGAGUUGCAAUUUUAAGAGAUAGGGAGAAGGACCGCAUUGAUCCUGAUUAUGAUCGCAGUUAUGACAGAUGCAGAUAUGUCAAGAGCAUCCCCACUGGUCAGAGUUUUAGGAUGGCACCUUUUAGUUUGCAAAGUUUUCAGCCUCCAUUUGUCCAGUAUGACCCUGUCUUCCCACAGAUGGGUCAGAUGCCUCCUCCUCAAGCUUCCCUCAACUACAGGACCCCAGUGAUGAGCCCUUAUUGUGCCGUAGGAUCAAGUCAGAAUUCUAGGGAUGCAUUAUAUAUGCCCUUUCCAAUGCAUACCAUGAUGUAUGCUCAAUCAUAUGAUCAAAUGCGGCAUGCCUCUUUUCAGAUGCUUGCCAUUUUUUCCCCCUGGCCCCCUUCUGUCAGCAGCCUCUAAGUUUUGAUUACUCCCAGAACCAUCGAUAACAGUUGAAACUGGGAGAUUCAUGUAUUCUCUGGGGUGUCCACUUUAGAUUGUUGAAUUCACGAAAACAUGUUCCAGGCGAUGAUGUUAGUACUGUUUAUCGUAAUAAAUGAGGCGAUGAGGUUCAUUACCACCACUAAUGCGAAAUCUGGAUGUCUCACUGCCGCCCAAAUCACCUCCGGCCGCCAAUCACCGGUGCCCAAUUGAUGCCCUCUCACUCUCCGCAGAGGGUUACAAUGGAUGCAGGGUUUCCUAUCGUGGGUUAGUGUUAAACCUGGCUAAGGAAUCUCGGAUUUUUCUGCCUAUUACUUUCCGUAUCAAAGACUAUUGAUUGUACUGUUAUGUUUCUUUUUAUAUACUUUUUCCGUCCCA